GUCGUGUUAACUUGGGGACCAGAAGUGGAUUUGUCGUGCAGUUUCUCUGAUGAGACAGUGCUGAUGUUUGAACUUAGGGCCCCUGAGUGCUGGCUCAAUGCUCUGCCACUAACUGUGUCCCCAGCCCUGGAUCCUGCUUUAGAUUACACAGCCUCAUUGAUUCAGCUCUCUGUGGACGUCAUCACACUGGUGGGAGUGUAAGUGAGCAAGAGUGAUCACAUGCAAAGCUGUACAAUGUGAUGCAGCCCUCUGCCAGCAGAUCUGUUACUAAAGGAAUUCAUGCAUCUUGCAUCUUGAAGAUGCAUUAUUAAUGCCUGGACAAAUCACAUCAGGUGAAACCCAGCAAGUCCCCGGCACUGAAGAAAAGGAACAAAGGCUGCUUCUACAAGAGAGCAAUGGAUGAGACAAAUUAUAACAGCUGGGAGUUUCCUGAACUUUGGCCAAUUUCUUCAUUAUACCCUGCGAGAAAUAGCCUGCGGUCAAGUUAAUUCAAGAGAGAAUGCAUGAAGUCAAGAGCUCUGGCAGGCAGGAAUGACAGUAUUGACCCAAGCCUCUGCUGCUAUCAGCCAAGUGGACCACUUAUGUCGUAAAGAAAACCAGCACGGCUGGACUCUCAGCUGUUAGAACUCAGGUUGCUAUUUGCCUUUUUGGACUCUUGUUUCCCACUGAAUACAUUUUAUUUUAUU